rnacentral:rRNA from 1 species
GGGGAAUAUUGCACAAUGGGCGAAAGCCUGAUGCAGCAACGCCGCGUGAGGGAUGACGGCCUUCGGGUUGUAAACCUCUUUUAGCAGGGAAGAAGCGAGAGUGACGGUACCUGCAGAAAAAGCACCGGCUAACUACGUGCCAGCAGCCGCGGUAAUACGUAGGGUGCAAGCGUUAUCCGGAAUUAUUGGGCGUAAAGAGCUCGUAGGCGGUUUGUCGCGUCUGCUGUGAAAUCUGGGGGCUCAACCCCCAGCCUGCAGUGGGUACGGGCAGACUAGAGUGCGGUAGGGGAGAUUGGAAUUCCUGGUGUAGCGGUGGAAUGCGCAGAUAUCAGGAGGAACACCGAUGGCGAAGGCAGAUCUCUGGGCCGUAACUGACGCUGAGGAGCGAAAGGGUGGGGAGCAAACAGGCUUAGAUACCCUGGUAGUCCACCCCGUAAACGUUGGGAACUAGUUGUGGGGUCCAUUCCACGGAUUCCGUGACGCAGCUAACGCAUUAAGUUCCCCGCCUGGGGAGUACGGCCGCAAGGCUA